CCUCUCUCAGAAUCGCAUCUGGAGAGCUUUCAGUGCUCUACCAGUGUCAGUUAUGGGAGGGAGAGUCAAACAGAGGCAUUCCCAUUCCAUUCUUAGCUUGGGCAGUGGCUAGCGAGUGGAAGGCAAUCUGCUACAAGU